CUCCGAUGCACUAGCCAGGUACACAGUAAAAGCCCCAGGAAAUUUUGAAUUUCUUUUCCUGUUUGGUCAGCGUGGCGAGCUCAGCAGUACAGGUGACUAUGCAGUCCUCCCAGAAUCGCAAACGAACUCCAGCAUGGAGUGAACAGGAGACACUGGGAAGAGUGUCAUGUAGGGAAA